UCCAAGGACGUUCCAAGGACAAUGGUUCAAGGGACCACUGCUCUCUCUAAUCCCUUGAAAACUAUCUUGGAUUUUACCUCUGAACCCGCCCACUAGCCACAUGGGAAUGAGCCCGUUUUCAAGGUGGAGGAUUCUUCCCCAGACCACGUCCCUUCCAAAUAUCCCACCCAGGGGCCUCCAUCAAUCUGCCUAAUGUGGUCCUACUCCCAUCCAACUUCUUUUGCCCGGAUCCUGACACCCUCUACUCGUCCUAAGUCCUCCAUGGAGCAACCGGCCAUCUCACCAUCCCAGGAGCCAAGAGGCAGCCCCAGCUGUGCGGGGUGAGGUAGGAGAUGCUCACUGAAGUAGGAAUGGGGCCUGCGUUCUCUCAGACGACUAUGAAGACAAGGGAGAACUGAGGAUCGCUCCAUCUGUUACACUGAGAACGGACUGCAGGGAGCCAGGGUGGAAGCAGGAGGCUGUCUGGAGGCUUCUGUAGUAACCCGGUAGAGAGAGCAUGCCACCGGGGGUCGGAACUAAAAAAGCAGUGCCUUUCAAAUCAAAA